GUGGUAAUGCCGGAUGCUCCGACUCCUCGCAUGGGGUGUCGGGAAAGAUUUCAUCGGUAUGGGAUGGGGUCGCGUCCUAUCAGGUAGUCGGCGGGGUAACGGCCCACCGAGCCUACGACGGGUAGCCGGCCUGAGAGGGCGACCGGCCACAUUGGGACUGAGAUACGGCCCAGACUCCUACGGGAGGCAGCAGUGGGGAAUAUUGCACAAUGGGCGCAAGCCUGAUGCAGCGACGCCGCGUGCGGGAUGACGGCCUUCGGGUUGUAAACCGCUUUUGAUCGGGAGCAAGCCUUCGGGUGAGUGUACCUUUCGAAUAAGCACCGGCUAACUACGUGCCAGCAGCCGCGGUAAUACGUAGGGUGCAAGCGUUAUCCGGAAUUAUUGGGCGUAAAGGGCUCGUAGGCGGUUCGUCGCGUCCGGUGUGAAAGUCCAUCGCUUAACGGUGGAUCUGCGCCGGGUACGGGCGGGCUGGAGUGCGGUAGGGGAGACUGGAAUUCCCGGUGUAACGGUGGAAUGUGUAGAUAUCG
rnacentral:rRNA from 1 species